CCUACGGGAGGCAGCAGUGGGGAAUAUUGCACAAUGGGGGAAACCCUGAUGCAGCGACGCCGCGUGAGUGAAGAAGUAAUUCGUUAUGUAAAGCUCUAUCAGCAGGGAAGAAAAUGACGGUACCUGAGUAAGAAGCCCCGGCUAACUACGUGCCAGCAGACGCGGGAAUACGUAGGGGGCCAGCGUUAUCCGGAUUUACUGGGUGUAAAGGGAGCGUAGACGGCAGGGCAAGUCUGGAGUGAAAGGCGGGGGCUCAACCCCCGGACUGCUCUGGAAACUGUACGGCUGGAGUGCAGGAGAGGUAAGUGGAAUUCCUGGUGUAGCGGUGAAAUGCGUAGAUAUUAGGAGGAACACCAGUGGCGAAGGCGGCUUACUGGACUGUAACUGACGUUGAGGCUCGAAAGCGUGGGGAGCAAACAGGAUUAGAUACCCGGGUAGUC
rnacentral:rRNA from 1 species